CCAUAGCCUUGAAAGCACCUGUUCCUCUACGAUCACCAAAAUUAAGCAACGUCGAGCCUGGUCAAUAUGUAGAUGGGUGACCGAUUGGGAUUAACAGGUGCUGCAA